GGGUGUGCGGUGAUGAAGCAAUUUAUGUGGACUAGAGUUUCUGAUCUGGGUCUGGAUCCCAGAACCUGACGACUAACCCUUGGCUGUCUGAGCACUCUC